rnacentral:rRNA from 1 species
GACGAACGCUGGCGGCGUGCUUAACACAUGCAAGUCGAACGGAGUGGCGAACGGGUGAGUAACACGUGGGUGAUCUGCCUUGCACUCGGGGAUAAGCUUGGGAAACUGGGACUAAUACCGGAUAGUGCAAGAUGAGCUCGCGGCCAAUCAGCUGGUUGGUGGGGUAAUGGCCUACACAGGCGUCGACGGGUAGACGGCCUGAGAGGGGGUACGGCCACAUUGGGACUGAGAUACGGCCCAGAGUCCUACGUGAGGCAGCAGUGGGGAAGAUUGCACAAUCGGCGGAAGCCUGAUGCAGCGACGCCGCGUGGGGGAUGAAGGCCUUCGGGUUGUAAACUCCUUUCGACAGGGACGCGGUACCUGUAUAAGAAGCACCGGCUAACUACGUGCCAGCAGCCGCGGUAAUAC